UACGUAGGUGGCAAGCGUUGUCCGGAUUUACUGGGUGUAAAGGGCGUGCAGCCGGGAAGACAAGUCAGAUGUGAAAUCCCGCGGCUCAACCGCGGAACUGCAUUUGAAACUGUUUUUCUUGAGUACCGGAGAGGUCAUCGGAAUUCCUUGUGUAGCGGUGAAAUGCGUAGAUAUAAGGAAGAACACCAGUAGCGAAGGCGGAUGACUGGACGGCAACUGACGGUGAGGCGCGAAAGCGUGGGGAGCGAACAGG
rnacentral:rRNA from 1 species